rnacentral:rRNA from 1 species
AGAUGGUGAACUAUGCCUGAAUAGGGCGAAGCCAGGGGAAACCCUGGUGGAAGCCCGCAGCGAUUCUGACGUGCAAAUCGAUCGUCAAAUUUGGGUAUAGGGGCGAAAGACUAAUCGAACCGUCUAGUAGCUGGUUCCCUCCGAAGUUUCCCUCAGGAUAGCUGGAGCCCGGUGCAGUUUUAUCAGGUAAAGCGAAUGAUUAGAGGUCUUGGGAUCGAAACGAUUUCAACCUAUUCUCAAACUUUAAAUGGGUAAGAGGUCCGGCUUGCUCGAUUGAAGUCGGACGUUGAAUGCCGGGGCUCCUAGUGGGCCAUUUUUGGUAAGCAGAACUGGCGAUGUGGGAUGAACCGAAAGCCGGGUUAAGGUGCCCGAAUCGACGCUCAGCA